rnacentral:rRNA from 1 species
UACGUAGGGGGCUAGCGUUGUCCGGAUUUAUUGGGCGUAAAGGGCGCGUAGGUGGUGGCUUAAGCGUGCGGUGAAAGCUCGGAGCUCAACUCCGAGUCGGCCGUGCGAACUGGGCUCACUGGAGCAUAGUAGAGGCAGGUGGAAUUCCGGGUGUAGCGGUGGAAUGCGUUGAGAUCCGGAAGAACACCGGUGGCGAAGGCGGCCUGCUGGGCUAUGGCUGACACUGAGGCGCGACAGCGUGGGGAGCAAACAGG